rnacentral:ribozyme from 13 species
CUAUGAAAAAAAAAAAAAAAAAAAAAAAAAAAAAAAAAA